rnacentral:rRNA from 1 species
GAUGAACGCUGGCGGCGUGCCUAACACAUGCAAGUCGAGCGAUUUACUUCGGUAAAGAGCGGCGGACGGGUGAGUAACGCGUGGGUAACCUGCCUCAUACACAUGGAUAACAUACCGAAAGGUAUGCUAAUACAAAAUGAUAUAAGAGAUUCGCAUGGAUUUCUUAUCAAAGCUCCGGCGGUAUGAGAUGGACCCGCGUCUGAUUAGCUAGUUGGUAAGGUAACGGCUUACCAAGGCGACGAUCAGUAGCCGACCUGAGAGGGUGAUCGGCCACAUUGGAACUGAGACACGGUCCAAACUCCUACGGGAGGCAGCAGUGGGGAAUAUUGCACAAUGGGCGAAAGCCUGAUGCAGCAACGCCGCGUGAGCGAUGAAGGCCUUCGGGUCGUAAAGCUCUGUCCUCAAGGAAGAUAAUGACGGUACUUGAGGAGGAAGCCCCGGCUAACUACGUGCCAGCCGCCGCCGUAAAAC